rnacentral:rRNA from 1 species
UACCAGCUCUCCGAGUGGUGUGGAUGUUUAUUGGGCCUAAAGCAUCCGUAGCUGGCUGGACAAGUCCCCUGUUAAAUCCACCGAUUUAAUCGUUGGUGUGCGGGGGAUACUGUUCGGCUAGGGGACGGGAGAGGCAGACGGUAUUUUUGGGGUAGGGGUGAAAUCCUAUAAUCCCGGGAAGACCACCAGUGGCGAAGGCUGUCUGCUAGAACGCGCCCGACGGUGAGGGAUGAAAGCUGGGGGAGCGAACCGGAUUAGAUACCCGGGUAGUCCCAGCUGUAAACGAUGCAGGCUAGGUGUUUGGACGGCCACGUGCCGUUCUAGUGCCGCAGGGAAGCCGUUAAGCCUGCCGCCUGGGGAGUACGGCCGCAAGGCUGAAACUUAAAGGAAUUGGCGGGGGAGCACCACAAGGGGUGAAGCUUGCGGUUU